AAGCUUGCUUCUCUUGAGAGCGGCGGACGGGUGACUUAUGCCUAGGAAUCUGCCUGGUAGUGGGGGAUAACGUUCGCCAUCUGACGCUAAUACCGCAUACGUCCUACGGGAGAAAGCAGGGGACCUUCGGGCCUUGCGCUAUCAGAUGAGCCUAGGUCGGAUUAGCUAGUUGGUGAGGUAAUGGCUCACCAAGGCGACGAUCCGUAACUGGUCUGAGAGGAUGAUCAGUCACACUGGAACUGAGACACGGUCCAGACUCCUACGGGAGGCAGCAGUGGGGAAUAUUGGACAAUGGGCGAAAGCCUGAUCCAGCCAUGCCGCGUGUGUGAAGAAGGUCUUCGGAUUGUAAAGCACUUUAAGUUGGGAGGAAGGGUUGUAGAUUAAUACUCUGCAAUUUUGACGUUACCGACAGAAUAAGCACCGGCUAACUCUGUGCCAGCAGCCGCGGUAAUACAGAGGGUGCAAGCGUUAAUCGGAAUUACUGGGCGUAAAGCGCGCGUAGGUGGUUUGUUAAGUUGGAUGUGAAAUCCCCGGGCUCAACCUGGGAACUGCAUUCAAAACUGACUGACUAGAGUAUGGUAGAGGGUGGUGGAAUUUCCUGUGUAGCGGUGAAAUGCGUAGAUAUAGGAAGGAACACCAGUGGCGAAGGCGACCACCUGGACUAAUACUGACACUGAGGUGCGAAAGCGUGGGGAGCAAACAGGAUUAGAUACCCUGGUAGUCCACGCCGUAAACGAUGUCAACUAGCCGUUGGAAGUCUUGAGCUUUUAGUGGCGCAGCUAACGCAUUAAGUU
rnacentral:rRNA from 1 species